CGCCUCAAAAGCUGACGGGUAAGCAAUUAAUCUUGUAAAUUAAAAGGCGAAGGUUCGAGUCCUUUUUGAGGCUU